rnacentral:tRNA from 1 species
GGGGGCGAAGGGUAAGCCGCUGGCUACAGCUGGCGGGACGUGGGUUCGAUUCCCACCGCCUCCA